AUGGCAUCUAAAGAAGCACUUCUAAAUCCUGCAUUCUUAUAGACCAAUACUAAAUGUCCCACUUCCUAUGUGACUGUCUGGUCAUGUCCAGCCUUAUUUCUAAUUGCUGAGACAGAAGUUAAACCCCUCCAGUCAAAAAAAGAAUCAGUCUUUUUAUCAUACACAGGAAAAAUAUCAUAGCUGAAUUACUUCCUUGACUUCUAUGGAGGGAAAAACUAGCUCAUAUGUCUGGAAUUUAAUUUUUCCUAAUCCAU
rnacentral:lncRNA from 1 species